GUGGGAUGCUCCUUGGUUCGAACCUCGCUGGUCACUAGCUGUGCUGCUUUGGACAGCUUGAGAAAUGUUUUAAAAGCUUCUCACAUUUCCAGCGAAACCCACAGAGAAGAAUUUUGCUUGUUAUCAGCCCUGGAAGCCUCUGAUAGACGGAGCCAGAGCUGCCUGAGGCGAAAAGAGAGGAGGAUGAUGGACACAGAGCCAGCGUCCUAGGAAGACGAUGGCCCAUGGGGAGCAAACAGCAAGACUGAGUCUUUCCCUUCUCCAAACACCAGCGCCCCCUAGUCCCUGACCUCCCCACAGCUGUUCACCUAGGCAGAGAGAGGGAAAGGUCUCCCAUGGGGGAAAAGCAAACAGGCUGCUUGGGGCCUUCUCCGGACCCUUCCCCAGGGCUGCCUGGAAUGGCCAUUACAGGGCCACUUCUUGCGGCACCACGAGCCAUUAAAGCAGGAGAGCUCGGGGAGCCAUCAGCCGAGCGCAGAUGACUUCCCCAGAUGUGGUAGUGGGCAGGAUGUGGAAGCCCCCAGCCCCAACUCUACAGACAAAACAUUCCCCUACUAACCAUCCUCGGAAACCCCACAGCCCAGAGCCCCUCUUACAGAUGCUUUCUAGACCAUUUAGCAGGAGGCAGUGUUUAUUUUUGAACAUAUGUUCUUCCCUCA